ACGCUCGACACCUACGUGAGGCAGCAGUGGGGAAUAUUGCACAAUGGGGGAAACCCUGAUGCAGCGACGCCGCGUGAGCGAAGAAGUAUUUCGGUAUGUAAAGCUCUAUCAGCAGGGAAGAAACUGACGGUACCUGACUAAGAAGCACCGGCUAAAUACGUGCCAGCAGUCGCGGUAAUCUGAGGCGGGCUGGCAAGGC
rnacentral:rRNA from 1 species